AGGAACAUCAGCCACCGCCAUGCCCAGCUGGGCACCUGUUGGAAAACAUCAGCAUCAAGGGGAUGGGGCGGACGGACAGAGAGAAGCAGACACUUGUCUUUGCAAGAAUAAAUUGUAUGUGUCACAACAUCCCACCCUCUUUCUGAUUAGCAUUUGAGGGAGCGGCAGAGAUGGAUGGAUGAAGCGAGGGGGGAAGGAAGUGCCUCCACUUGGCUGUCUCCCGCUGCAAAAGCUUGUUUUUCUUUGCCUUGCUCAGCAGGAUUUUUUUUAUUAUUAUGAUGCAGUUUUUUAUUAUGGGCUGCAUACAACCAUGCUAAUAAUUUAUUACUUCUACCCAGUGCUUUUUUUCCUGGCGGUACUUGCUGUAACAACUUUGUGGUGAGUACUGCCCCUUUUUCUAGAAAAAAGCACUGGUCAUUACUAUUAAUUUCAAUGGGCCUACUCAGAGUAUGUCAGAACUCAAUAAGUCAAUUGGGCGGCACCUGACAGUUUUGAUUUGUGUCUAGUGAACUCUGCACCAGGCUGAUCGCAAUAGUUCCCUGCAAUGAGCAGGGAGCCUGUCUGCUCCAGAAAGGUUAUGAGCUCACAGCAGAGAAACCACAGAAUCUCACUGUGAAUAACUUAGCAGAGGUAGAGAAGGAAGGAAAGAGGAAUCCUGUUUAAUAAACUUAAAAAGAUGGUUGAUUGGCCAGACCCUUACUAUUGCCCUCAGUGUAUGCUGACCCCCAUACUUACUUUCAUAUAUUGUGCUUACAGUCCACCCUUUACCAAAUAGUUCCAGGCAGGUUACAAAAAUGUCACAGUUAAAUGAGCACAGUUUACAUUAAAAUAAUAGGGAUCCCCAGCCAUUUUCCAAGAACACUUUCUGUUAUCGCAUGUCUCAAGGAGUACACCAAGGUGGGGGAUGUUCUGAAUCAGGUGGACAGUCAGCUGAUUGACAGCUAUAUUGUCCCACCUCCCUCAUACAGUGCUUCCCAAGUAACUGACAUGACUGCUGCUUGGUUGAAAGGGACUUGGGAACUGCUGCACAAAGCACUUUGCAAGCCUUGGGCUCAGCACUUCCCAAGUACCAAGCUCAGGACUGGCAAAGCUGCUUUCUGCAUGGAUUGGCUGUGAUCCAAGUUCCCAACGGGAAACUGUUGCACAGCUGAUCCCAGCAGGCCUGAAGUCUUCAACCAUGCUAGUAUCAGCUAGACCUGCUAGCUAGACCUGCUCCACAUCUAAUGUCCUUGCAGGCAAACUGGGACUUAUGCUGGUGUAUCUUUGCUACCCAGAAUAACUGGGAGGUGCUACUGACAGGACUGUGAUUCAAACUGGGAAGGAAGAAGACACAAGAAUCCUUUAGCUUUGAUGCAGUUUAUGUGAGAGUGAGUUGGUGUGCUUUCCUUUUCUUCCCUCUGCACUCAUGCUGUAGGCUGGGUUGGGGAACCUGUGAUGCUCCAAUUACAACUCUUAUCUCUUGUUGAUGGGAAUCCCAACAACAUCCAGAGGAUGUUUCCUACCCCUGCUGUAUAUUCUCUGCCUCUGGUUCUUUGAAUAAACACCCACAGAUAUCUGUGAUGGAUAGAAGGUAGUUUGCAGUCACACAGUACGGAUUUGGGAAGUUACCGUGUUAAAAUACUCUACUCCUGUUGCUGAAAACGCCUCUGCAAUUUCCUUUGUCGUUGCUACACAAGAAACAGGAUGCCCAUUGCCAAUUGGUUUUCCCAUGGUGAUAAUAUCGGGAAUAAAAUCCUCUCCUUGAAGUUGAAAUGCCCAAAAAUGUUUGCCAACCCUUCCAAAGCCAACUUGAAUCUCAUCAGCAAUGAAUACACCUCCUGCGCUGUGUAUGUGCCUAUUAAAAGAGCCAAAUCACACAUACAGGUAUAAAACCCAAUAAAUUUAUAAUUAGUUUAGUAGCUGAUUCUCAUUUUAAAAGUUGCAUUUUAUUGUGUGCUUCAAAAUAUUAAAUUUCCUUAAAAUUAAAAAUGCAAUAAGCACAAUGAACUAAAAAUUGUUCAGUGCUGACAAAAUUGAACAGCAAGUAAGAUAAUUCCAUUAAAGAGAGUUGCACCCUU